AGAGUUUGAUUCUGGCUCAGGAUGAACGCUAGCGAUAGGCCUAACACAUGCAAGUCGAGGGGCAGCACAUGAAGUAGCAAUACGGAUGGUGGCGACCGGCGCACGGGUGAGUAACGCGUAUGCAACCUGCCUACAACAGGGGAAUAACCCGUUGAAAGACGGACUAAUACCCCAUAACACAGGGAUCCCGCAUGGGAAUAUUUGUUAAAGAUUUAUCGGUUGUAGAUGGGCAUGCGUUCCAUUAGCUGGUUGGUGAGGUAACGGCUCACCAAGGCAACGAUGGAUAGGGGAACUGAGAGGUUUAUCCCCCACACUGGUACUGAGACACGGACCAGACUCCUACGGGAGGCAGCAGUGAGGAAUAUUGGUCAAUGGACGCAAGUCUGAACCAGCCACGUCGCGUGAAGGAAGACGGCCCUACGGGUUGUAAACUUCUUUUGUAAGGGAAUAAAGUGCAGUACGUGUACUGUUUUGCAUGUACCUUACGAAUAAGGAUCGGCUAACUCCGUGCCAGCAGCCGCGGUAAUACGGAGGAUCCGAGCGUUAUCCGGAUUUAUUGGGUUUAAAGGGUGCGCAGGCGGGAGAUUAAGUCGGCGGUGAAAUUUUGCAGCUCAACUGUAAAAGUGCCUUCGAAACUGGUUUUCUUGAGUGUGGAUGAAGUAGGCGGAAUUUGUGGUGUAGCGGUGAAAUGCAUAGAUAUCACGAGGAACUCCGAUUGCGCAGGCAGCUUACUAAACCAUAACUGACGCUCAGGCACGAAGGCGUGGGGAUCAAACAGGAUUAGAUACCCUGGUAGUC
rnacentral:rRNA from 1 species